rnacentral:lncRNA from 1 species
GACGUGUGCACUUCCGAGCUGUGUACGAGAAGUUCGUCACCCCGUCCAGGCCCCAUGGGCUUCUCCGGUUGUCGGGAGGCCCGAACGAUGACGCCCUCCGGAAACGGAGCGGAGAGGAGAACCCGCUGGGCAAGCUUGUCGUCUCCUGCUGCCGGGUGGUCCCGUGGCGGCGGGUUGGGCCGGCGAGAGCCGCUGUGAGCGG